GACGAACCGUGCGAACGUUGUUCGGAAUCACUGGGCUUAAAGGGCGCGUAGGCGGUCUCUCAAGUCUGGGGUGAAAUCCUCCCGCUCAACGGGAGAACUGCCUCAGAUACUGGGGGUCUCGAGGAAGGUAGGGGCAUGCGGAACUGUGAGUGGAGCGGUGAAAUGCGUUGAUAUUCACAGGAACUCCAGUGGCGAAGGCGGCAUGCUGGACCUUAUCUGACGCUGAGGCGCGAAAGCUAGGGUAGCGAACGGG
rnacentral:misc_RNA from 1 species